rnacentral:misc_RNA from 1 species
GGGCGUGGGGAGGGGCAG